AUUGAACGCUGGCGGCAGGCCUAACACAUGCAAGUCGAGCGGAUGAAGGGAGCUUGCUCCUGGAUUCAGCGGCGGACGGGUGAGUAAUGCCUAGGAAUCUGCCUGGUAGUGGGGGAUAACGUCAGGAAACGGGCGCUAAUACCGCAUACGUCCUGAGGGAGAAAGUGGGGGAUCUUCGGACCUCACGCUAUCAGAUGAGCCUAGGUCGGAUUAGCUAGUUGGUGGGGUAAAGGCCUACCAAGGCGACGAUCCGUAACUGGUCUGAGAGGAUGAUCAGUCACACUGGAACUGAGACACGGUCCAGACUCCUACGGGAGGCAGCAGUGGGGAAUAUUGGACAAUGGGCGAAAGCCUGAUCCAGCCAUGCCGCGUGUGUGAAGAAGGUCUUCGGAUCGUAAAGCACUUUAAGUUGGGAGGAAGGGCAGUAAGUUAAUACCUUGCUGUUUUGACGUUACCAACAGAAUAAGCACCGGCUAACUUCGUG
rnacentral:rRNA from 1 species